AAACAUGAGAGUUUGAUCCUGGCUCAGAAUCAACGCUGGCGGCGUGCCUAACACAUGCAAGUCGAACGCGAAAGCGGGCUUCGGCCCGCAAGUAGAGUGGCAAACGGGUGAGUAACGCGUGGGUGACCUACCUUCGAGUGGGGGAUAACGUUCCGAAAGGAGCGCUAAUACCGCAUGACAUCCCGUCUUUGGAAAGAUGGUGAUCAAAGCUGGGGAUCGCAAGACCUGGCGCUUGUUGAGGGGCCCGCGUCCGAUUAGCUUGUUGGCGGGGUAA
rnacentral:rRNA from 1 species